rnacentral:rRNA from 1 species
UACGUAGGGGCCUAGCGUUGUCCGGAAUCAUUGGGCGUAAAGAGCUCGUAGGCGGUUCGGCAAGUCACGUGUGAAAUCUCCACGCUUAACGUGGAGGCGCCACGUGAAACUGCCGUGACUCGAGUCCGGUAGGGGAGUGUGGAAUUCCCGGUGUAGCGGUGAAAUGCGCAGAUAUCAGGAGGAACACCGAUGGCGAAGGCAGGUCUCUGGGCCACUACUGACGCUGAGGAGCGAAAGCGUGGGUAGCAAACAGG